rnacentral:rRNA from 1 species
CACGGGGGGAGCGAACGUUGUUCGGAAUCACUGGGCGUAAAGGGCGUGUAGGCGGUUCGGUAAGUGGAAUGUGAAAUCCCCCGGCUUACCCGGGGAACUGCAUCCCAUACUGCUGGACUUGAGUGCGGGAGAGGAUGGAGGAAUUCCUGGUGUAGCGGUGAAAUGCGUAGAUAUCGUGAGGAAGACCAGUGGCGAAGGCGGGUCUCUGGACAGUUCCUGACGCUGAGGCGCGAAGGCCAGGGGAGCAAACGGG